UCAGCUAUGGCGAUUUGACUCCGACAGGAGUUUAUGGUAAGCUAGUUGGUUCGAUGUGCGCACUCAUCGGGGUUCUAACGCUUGCAUUACCAGUUCCAAUCAUUGUGAGCAUU
rfam:Anisakis simplex genome assembly, scaffold: ASIM_scaffold0000158